UGCUGGAUCCAAUGUCUCUGGCACUGUGCUCCUGCACCCAGCGGGACCCGGCAUCGAUACUGUUGGGGAUUCUGGCACAGAGGGAAGAUUUGCACUCCCACCCCUUGCACAAGUAAAUAACUGGAGCAAGGCUGGGGAGGGUGUCUGCCUCUGACGCCCUGCCUCCUGCCACCUGAUCUUGCAGCCAUCCAGCCCUUCCCUCCCUUCCCAGCCAGCAGCAGGGAGAGCCAGCAAGCCCCAGCUGGAAAGGGAACAGCGUGGCCGAGACAGAGUUCAUCCCUUACAGAGGAGCUGCUCAAGGCAGAGGGCAGCUGGAGCUGCCUGCCUCCUGCCAGCCUCCCACGAGGGGCAGGGAGCCUCCCACGAGUGGGAAAAGCUUCACCUUUCCUUGGCUACACCUACAGCACCACUGGAUGUCACUGUUGAUUCAUAAAAGACAAAAAUCUUACUGUAAUCUUUUUGACAGAUAAUGUUUAGUACAUAAAUAUAUACAUGUAUUUAUAGUCUCUUUCCCACAAUUUCCUGCAAAAGGACUGAAAUUACAGAAAGUCUGUGCAGCCUCGUGGCUCUCACAUUUUUGAUGACUAUUUUUAUAGAGACUGCGUUUAUGGGUCCUUUUGUGGCACUCCAAGAGGCAUCUCUUCCAUAAAAGAUUGCUUUCUGCUCUGGUAGACGUAGAGUGGGGCAGAGCUGCCACAAUAUAUUUCAGUUGUUUUGGGGUUUCUUUU